CGGCAUGUAGCUCAGUUGGUAGAGCACCGGAGUGAAGCCCCGGAGCGCACAGGUUCGAUUCCUGUCGUGUCGGCCA
rnacentral:tRNA from 1 species